CUGGCCUUGACAUGUUGGGAACUUUCCAGAGACCUUUUGGUGCCUUCGGGAACCCAAACACAGGUGCUGCAUGGCCGUCGUCAGCUCGUGUCGUGAGAUGUUGGGUUAAGUCCCGUAACGAGCGCAACCCUUAUCCCUAGUUGCCAGCACAUAAUGGUGGGAACUCUAGGGAGACUGCCGGUGACAAACCGGAGGAAGGUGGGGAUGACGUCAGGUCAUCAUGGCCCUUACGGCCAGGGCUACACACGUGCUACAAUGGCGCGCACAGAGGGCUGCAAACCCGCGAGGGGGAGCCAAUCUCACAAAACGCGUCGUAGUCCGGAUCGCAGUCUGCAACUCGACUGCGUGAAGUCGGAAUCGCUAGUAAUCGUGAAUCAGAAUGUCACGGUGAAUACGUUCCC
rnacentral:rRNA from 1 species